AGUGGCGAACGGGUGAGUAACGCGUGGAUGAUCUACCUACGAGAUGGGGAUAACUAYUAGAAAUAGUAGCUAAUACCGAAUAARGUCAAUYAAUUUGUUAAUUGAUGAAAGGAAGCCUUUAAAGCUUCGCUUGUAGAUGAGUCUGCGUCUUAUUAGYUAGUUGGURGGGUAAAUGCCUACCAAGRCGAUGAUAAGUAACCGGCCUGAGAGGGUGAACGGUCACACUGGAACUGAGAUACGGUCCAGACUCCUACGGGAGGCAGCAGCUAAGAAUCUUCCGCAAUGGGCGAAAGCCUGACGGAGCGACACUGCGUGAAUGAAGAAGGUCGAAAGAUUGUAAAAUUCUUUUAUAAAUGAGGAAUAAGCUUUGUAGGAAAUGACGAAGYGAUGACGUUAAUUUAUGAAUAAGCCCCGGCUAAUUACGUGCCAGCAGCCGCGGUAAUACGUAAGGGGCGAGCGUUGUUCGGGAUUAUUGGGCGUAAAGGGUGAGUAGGCGGAUAUAUAAGUCUAUGCAUAAAAUACCACAGCUCAACUGUGGAACUAUGUUGGAAACUAUAUGUCUAGAGUCUGAUA
rnacentral:rRNA from 1 species